rnacentral:rRNA from 1 species
AACACAUGCAAGUCGAACGAGCCUUCCGGGUCUAGUGGCGCACGGGUGCGUAACGCGUGGGAAUCUGCCCUUGGGUACGGAAUAACAGCGAGAAAUUGCUGCUAAUACCGUAUAAUGACGUAAGUCCAAAGAUUUAUCGCCCAGGGAUGAGCCCGCGUAGGAUUAGCUUGUUGGUGAGGUAAAAGCUCACCAAGGCGACGAUCCUUAGCUGGUCUGAGAGGAUGAUCAGCCACACUGGGACUGAGACACGGCCCAGACUCCUACGGGAGGCAGCAGUGGGGAAUAUUGGACAAUGGGCGAAAGCCUGAUCCAGCAAUGCCGCGUGAGUGAUGAAGGCCUUAGGGUUGUAAAGCUCUUUUGCCCGGGAUGAUAGUGACAGUACCGGGAGAAUAAGCUCCGGCU